rnacentral:rRNA from 1 species
AUACGUAGGUGACAAGCGUUAUCCGGAUUUACUGGGCGUAAAGGGCGUGUAGGCGGUCUUGCAAGUCAGAAGUGAAAUUCCCGAGCUCAACUCGGGCGCUGCUUCUAAAACUGCAGGACUUGAGUGCUGGAGGGGAUAGCGGAAUUCCUAGUGGAGCGGUAAAAUGCGCAGAUAUUAGGAAGAACACCGGUGGCGAAGGCGGCUAUCUGGACAGUAACUGACGCUGAGGCGCGAAAGCGUGGGGAGCAAACAGGAUUAGAUACCCUGGUAGUCCACGCGGUAAACGAUGAAUGCUAGGUGUUGCGGGUAUCGACCCCUGCAGUGCCGGAGUAAACACAAUAAGCAUUCCGCCUGGGGAGUACGGCCGCAAGGUUGAAACUCAAAUGAAUUGGCGGGG